rnacentral:rRNA from 1 species
UACGGGGGGAGCAAGCGUUGUUCGGAUUUACUGGGCGUAAAGGGCACGUAGGCGGCCACCGCAAGUCGACUGUGAAAUCUCCGGGCUUAACCCGGAAAGGUCAGCCGAUACUGCGGGGCUAGAGUGCAGAAGGGGCAACUGGAAUUCUCGGUGUAGCGGUGAAAUGCGUAGAUAUCGAGAGGAACACCUGCGGCGAAGGCGGGUCUCUGGACAGUUCCUGACGCUCAGGCACGAAAGCCAGGG